rnacentral:rRNA from 1 species
AUUGAACGCUGGCGGCAGGCCUAACACAUGCAAGUCGAACGAGUGGCGGACGGGUGAGUAAUGUCUGGGAAACUGCCUGAUGGAGGGGGAUAACUACUGGAAACGGUAGCUAAUACCGCAUACCAUCGGAUGUGCCCAGAUGGGAUUAGCUAGUAGGGGGGGUAAAGGCUCACCUAGGCGACGAUCCCUAGCUGGUCUGAGAGGAUGACCAGCCACACGGGAACUGAGACACGGUCCAGACUCCUACGGGGGGCAGCAGGGGGGAAUAUGGAAAAAUGGGGCAAAGCCUGAGGCAGCCAGGCCGCGUGUAUGAAGAAGGCCUUCGGGUUGUAAAGUACUUUCAGCGGGGAGGCGUUACCCGCAGAAGAAGCACCGGCUAACUCCGUGCCAGCAGCCGCGUAAUUC